AUUAGAUACCCUGGUAGUCCACGCAGUAAACGAUGAAUGUCAGCUGUCCGGGACUUCGGUCCUGGGUGGCACAGCGAAAGCGUUAAACAUUCCACCUGGGGAGUACGCCGGCAACGGUGAAACUCAAAGGAAUUGACGGGGGCCCGCACAAGCGGAGGAACAUGUGGUUUAAUUCGAUGAUACGCGAGGAACCUUACCCGGGCUCAAACGUGACUGGAAUGUCCGCGAAAGCGGGCAGCCCUUCGGGGCCGGUUACGAGGUGCUGCAUGGUUGUCGUCAGCUCGUGCCGUGAGGUGUCGGCUUAAGUGCCAUAACGAGCGCAACCCCUACCGACAGUUGCUAACAAGCGAAGUUGAGGACUCUGUCGGGACUGCCGGCGCAAGCUGCGAGGAAGGCGGGGAUGACGUCAAAUCAGCACGGCCCUUAUGUCCGGGGCGACACACGUGUUACAAUGGCGGGUACAGCGGGAGGCCAUGCGGCGACGCAGAGCGGAACCCGAAAACCCGUCUCAGUUCGGAUUGGAGUCUGCAACCCGACUCCAUGAAGCUGGAUUCGCUAGUAAUCGCGCAUCAGCCACGGCGCGGUGAAUACGUUCCCGGGCCUUGUACACACCGCCCGUCAAGCCAUGGGAGCCGGGAGUGCCUGAAGUGCGUGAGCGCGAGCAGCGCCCUAGGGUAAAACCGGUGACUGGGGCUAAGUCGUAACAAGGUAAC
rnacentral:rRNA from 1 species